rnacentral:pre_miRNA from 1 species
UCCAGAACUGAAAAUGCAGAAUAGUAGAAAUAUUGCGAGAUCAAUAUCUCUUACCUCCUUCUUCGUUGUUGCUAAAAUUUGGACUUCCAAACAGCAGAAUUGAGUCUUGGACUCCUCAUGAAUGUUUUAGGCCUAUGUCUUAGCUUUCUAGU